rnacentral:rRNA from 1 species
UACGUAGGGUGCGAGCGUUAAUCGGAAUUACUGGGCGUAAAGGGUGCGCAGGCGGCGUCGCAAGUCAGGCGUGAAAUCCCCGGGCUUAACCUGGGAAUGGCACUUGAAACUACGAUGCUGGAGUAUGGCAGAGGGAGGUGGAAUUCCACGUGUAGCGGUGAAAUGCGUAGAGAUGUGGAGGAACACCGAUGGCGAAGGCAGCCUCCUGGGCCAAUACCGACGCUCAUGCACGAAAGCGUGGGGAGCAAACAGG